rnacentral:rRNA from 1 species
AUGGGAACGCGAAGAACCUUACCUACUCUUGACAUCCAGAGAACUUUCCAGAGAUGGAUUGGUGCCUUCGGGAACGUCUGAGACAGGUGCUGCAUGGCUGUCGUCAGCGUCGUGUUGUGAAAUGUUGGGUUAAGUCCCGCAACGAGCGCAACCCGUUAUCCUUUGUUGCCAGCGGUUAGGCCGGGAACUCAAAGGAGACUGCCAGUGAUAACUGGAGAAGGUGGGAUGACGUCAAGUCAUCAUGGCCCUUACGAGUAGGGCUACACACGUGCUACAAUGGCGCAUACAAAGAGAAGCGACCUCGCGAGAGCAAGCGGACCUCAUAAAGUGCGUCGUAGUCCGGAAUUGGAGUCUGCAACUCGACUCCAUGAAGUCGGAAUCGCUAGUAAUCGUAGAUCAGAAUGCUACGGUGAAUACGUUCCCGGGUCUUGUACACACCGAGU